rnacentral:rRNA from 1 species
UGCAAGUCGAGGGGUAACAGGGAGCUUGCUCCGCUGACGACCGGCGCACGGGUGCGUAACGCGUAUAGAACCUACCUUUUACUGAGGGAUAGCCUUUAGAAAUGAAGAUUAAUAUCUCAUAGUAUUGAGAAGUGGCAUCACUUUUUAAUUAAAGAUUUAUUGGUAAAAGAUGGCUAUGCGUCUUAUUAGCUAGAUGGUAAGGUAACGGCUUACCAUGGCGACGAUAGGUAGGGGUCCUGAGAGGGAGAUCCCCCACACUGGUACUGAGACACGGACCAGACUCC